GAAGGAGAAUCCCAAGCAGGCUCUUCACGGUCAGUGCAGAGCCCAAUGUGGGGCUCGAACUCAUGAACCAUGAGGCCAUGACCUGAGCCGAAGUCGGAUUUUUAACCAACUGAGCCGCCCAAGCACCCCUACCUAUUUUUUAAUUGGGUUAUUUAUUUGUUGUUCAGUUGUAGAAGUUCUUUAUAUGUACUGGAUAUCAACUCCAUCAGAUCUAUGAUUUGCAAAUAUUUUCUCCCAUUCCAUAAGUUGCUUUUUCAUUACAUGGAUUGCUUAUUUUGUUGUUGUUUGAUGUGCAGAAGUUUUUAACUUUGAUGUUGUCUUGUUUGUCUAUUUUUGCUUUUGUUGCCUGUGCUUUUGGAGUCAUAUAUAAGAAAUCAUUGCUAAUUCCAAUAUCAUGAAGUUUUCCCCUGUGUUUUCUUCUCAGAGUCUUAUAAUUGUAGGUCUUCAAUUUAUGUCUUUGAUCCAUUGGAGUUGAUUUUUGUAUAUGGCUUAAGUGGCAGGAAGAAAGUUGCCAGAAGGUUGAGUGAGUCACCCACAGUCAUAAAGCCAGGAGGGCCUGUCCAAAGAAUGGAAGCCUAACCCCCUUCUGACAUGGUUAUCCAUGGCUCAGCACAUGAAGUCUCAUACAAAGCGAAUCCUGAUUUGAAUAAGAGCUUCAUGACACUCUGGUUAUAUUACCUCCUCUUCAACGUUUCACCUACUCUUCCUCAAAUCUUGCCUGAAGAUCUUUGCAAAGGCCGUUCCCUCUGCCUGGGAAAUGUCCUUCCUCCUUUUCUGGGUUACAUAAGACUGCAACUUCCAUCUUGCUGAUCACCUUCUCACCUUAUAUGCUUUGAUGAAGCAAGCUCACAUGUUGGAAAAGCUCAAGGAAUUGAAUCCUGGCAACAACCACAUGAGUCUGGGAGUGGAUGCUUCACCCAGUCAACCUUCAGAUGAGAUCCCUGCCCUGGCCAACACCUUGAUUACAGCCUUGUGAGAGACCCUGAAGCUGAGUACUUAGCUAAGCAUGCCUCAACUCCUAACCCUCAGAAACUAAGAGAUAAUAAAUGUGUGUAGUGUUAAGCCACUAAGUCUUGGGGAUAAUUUCUUACACAGCAAUAGGUAGCUAAUAAGACAAAUAAGUGAAUAAGUCAGUAAGUGAAUGGAUUUGAAGUGAAGUGAAGUGAAGUGAAUGAAACUGAAGACCUCACUAAAGGAAGGGGAAACUAAGACCUGGUGGAGGUGAGGGGGUAGUGUAGAGAGAGUGGACUGAUAUGCUCAAAGACAAUUGUCCAUGCUUCCUGUUUGAUUUUGUUUCUCUCAACCAUAGAAUCUAAAGGAGGCGUUUUGGGGAAAACUCUUCCAAAGUUUUUAGAAUCAGAAAUUCAACAGAGAACCUGAUGGAAAGGGUCAUGGUCAAGGGAAUAAAGGACCUAGAGGAAUAAGGACUGGAGACAAAAGAGCAAAAUGUUGCAUAUGAUUACCUUUGCAGCCCAAGCAUGAAGGGUAAAGAAUAUUCAAAACUGAAUGAGACUGGCAAAAAGCACCCAAGAGAUCAGCUGAGAUGCUAACAGAAGGUCAGUCUUCGUUCCCAAACAGUGGGUGGAGAGACGGAGGCAUGGGCCCUCCUGGAAUUUUAUUUCCUCAAACAUUAGAAAUCACAUACUUGAAACCUAUAAAGCCAUCCUAUAUGUUUAAAUAGAAAAGAAGGGGCGCCUGGGAGGCUCAGUCAGUUAAGUGUCUGACUUCGGCUCAGAUCAUGAUCUCACAGUUUGUGGGUGCAAGUUCUGUGUUGGGCUCUGUGCUGACAGCUCAGAACUUUGAGCCUGCUUCAGAUUCUGUGUCUCCUUCUCUCUCUGCCUCUACCCUGCUCGUGCUAUGUCUCUCUCUCUCAAAAAUAAAUGAACAUUAAAAAAAAAAAAGAAUAUUGCUACAUUUAUUGCUGUCCCUUUUCCCAUAUCUUAGUAACCUGUUUUGGUAUUUCAGUCCUCUUAAAUAAUAAAAACAAGUCCUCUUGUGCUUCAAUAAUCUUUUAUUCCAUUUAACAGAUAGGUUUGGGGUGACUGCCUGUGUAAACCUCUUUGCAAAGCUUAUUGCUACCAGUGGGAAAAGAUGACCAUUUCCUAAAAU